UCGUCACGACAAAUUUUUGUUCAAUACAGAAUGGUGUGUGCCUUCAAAUAUUACUGUACUUCUAACUCCUGUUGCCAAAGAAUUUUGAACGAGUUUUCCUAGUUUUUUUUUUCGAUAAAAAUAUAUGUAUGCAUUAAACAUUCACAUUU
ensembl:ncRNA T01C3.12 ncRNA